rnacentral:rRNA from 1 species
UACGUAGGGGGCAAGCGUUGUCCGGAAUCAUUGGGCGUAAAGAGCGUGUAGGCGGUCCGUUAAGUCGGCUGUGAAAGUCCAAGGCUCAACCUUGGGAUGCCGGUCGAUACUGCCGGACUAGAGUUCGGAAGAGGCGAGUGGAAUUCCCGGUGUAGCGGUGAAAUGCGCAGAUAUCGGGAAGAACACCCGUGGCGAAGGCGGCUCUCUGGGACGGUACUGACGCUGAGACGCGAAAGCGUGGGGAGCGAACAGG